rnacentral:lncRNA from 1 species
AGAGAUGGAGUAUUGGUGUCCGAAGCACAGUAGUUCAACUGUGGUCGAGAAUCAUUAAGACCCCAGUGGUGGGUUAAGGGUAGACGGACAGACAGACGUUGGACAGAAAGCCCUUGCUCGUCCGGGAUUAAAAAGAGACUAAGAGAGGCAGAAGACCCAAGACUACGGUAAAGACAGCCCUCCUUCUUCCCGC